GAUGAACGCUAGCUACAGGCUUAACACAUGCAAGUCGAGGGACCGGCGCACGGGUGAGUAACACGUAUCCAACCUGCCCUUUACUCGGGGAUAGGCUUGCGAUAGACAGAAUAAUACACGAUAUAAAGGAUGGGGAUGCGUUCCGUUAGGUUGUUGGUGAGGUAACGGCCCACCAAGCCUUCGCUGGAAAGGGGUUCGGAGAGGAAGGUCCCCUACAUUGGAAAUGAGACACAGUCCAAACGCGUACGGGAGGCAGCAGUGAGGAAGAUUGGGCAAUGGACGGUAGCCUGAACCAGCCAAGUAGCGUGAAGGAUGAAGGCUUAUGGGUCGUAAACUUCUUUUAUAUAAGAAUAUGUAUUAUAUGAAUAAGGAUCGGCUAACUCCGUGCCAGCAGCCGCGGUAAUUC
rnacentral:rRNA from 1 species